AAUAGAUACCCUGGUAGUCCACGCCGUAAACGGUGGGUACUAGGUGUGGGUUUCCUUCCUUGGGAUCCGUGCCGUAGCUAACGCAUUAAGUACCCCGCCUGGGGAGUACGGCCGCAAGGCUAAAACUCAAAGAAAUUGACGGGGGGCCCGCACAAGCGGCGGAGCAUGUGGAUUAAUUCGAUGCAACGCGAAGAACCUUACCUGGGUUUGACAUGCACAGGACGCCGGCAGAGAUGUCGGUUCCCUUGUGGCCUGUGUGCAGGUGGUGCAUGGCUGUCGUCAGCUCGUGUCGUGAGAUGUUGGGUUAAGUCCCGCAACGAGCGCAACCCUUGUCUCAUGUUGCCAGCACGUCAUGGUGGGGACUCGUGAGAGACUGCCGGGGUCAACUCGGAGGAAGAUGGGGAUGACGUCAAGUCAUCAUGCCCCUUAUGUCCAGGGCUUCACACAUGCUACAAUGGCCGGUACAAAGGGCUGCGAUGCCGUGAGGUGGAGCGAAUCCUUUCAAAGCCGGUCUCAGUUCGGAGUC
rnacentral:rRNA from 1 species